UGCCCCGUGGUAUAGCGGUUAUCACUCUGGACUCUGAAUCUAGCGACCCGAGUUCGAGUCUUGGUGGGGCCU
rnacentral:tRNA from 1 species